rnacentral:tRNA from 1 species
AAACAAUAAGCAAAAAUGCAUUUUGAUUUCGGCUCAAAAAGAGGUAAAUUUAUACCAUUGUUUU